UACGUAGGGUGCUAGCGUUGUCCGGAUUUAUUGGGCUUAAAGAGCGCGUAGGCGGCCGAGUAAGUCCGACGUGAAAUCUGGAGGCUCAACCUCCAGCGGUCGUUGGAAACUACUCGGCUAGAGACCGGAAGAGGAGAGUGGAAUUCCAGGUGUAGCGGUGAAAUGCGCAGAUAUCAGGAAGAACACCGAUGGCGAAAGCAGCUCUCUGGGACGGUACUGACGCUGAGGCGCGAAAGCGUGGGGAGCGAACAGG
rnacentral:rRNA from 1 species